UGACGGAGAAAUGUUUUUUGGCUGGUUACAAAUCUAUAUCAAUAAUCUAUAAUCUAUAUAAAAGAUACGGACCGUUCUCUUCACCGUCGUCUGUCAAACUUUUCAUAAAAUUUGUGACGCCUCGUGAUUGCACCGAAUCUAUCUACAUCUAUAUACCAAUGUAAAAAAUAUUGAAUGUUCCAACUUCUUUUCUCCCCUUUUUUCCGUCCCCCGCGACCCACCUCGUCCGCCCGCACACAAAUCACUCCUUCGUCCGCUCCAGACGCCGAGCAGGGGAACAUGUUCGUUCUCUCAGCCCUCAUCCCCCCGCGUGUUGAUCUGGACCAACGGGAGCCGCUACGACAACGCGCGCUAAGGCGGUUCAGCAGCCGUUUAAUUCCGCAAAAAACAGGGGAACAUGUUCGUUCUCUCAGCUCUCGUCCCCAGCGUGUUGAUCUAGGCCAACGGGAGCCACUACGAUAAACGCGCUAAGGCGGUUUAGCCGUGAUUAUGGGGGAUGAUUGAGGAGGGAAAAAGGAAGAGAAGGGCCAUGGGAUACGGUUCAAAGCACCUGGACGGGUGGCAGGUCGAGGAGGCGUCGUCGAGGGCAGAGAUUGCGACGGCCGACGCACAUGUGUGCUGCUUUAGGCGCUAGGAGGAAGACGGGCACGAGCGCUCGUGCGGACAUGGGUUGGACGUCCUCAGAAAAACUGGCCCAAGAGAGAGAACAGGUGUGGUCCGAGAGAAAAAAAAAGAGAAAAAAAAAUCCAAAAAUGGCUUUUCUUGGCCGUAGCAGAACACAGGCAUUCUGCUGUAAAAUAAAAAAGGCUCGUUCCUCUUUAAAAAAAAAGGACUCGCUCGCAUUUAAAACAAAAGUCGUUGAUAACGACCGCAUAAAGCGAUAUUCUUCAAAGUGACAAGGAUGAGACGCGUGGUUCGGGCAAUCCCCACGCGCGAAUUUUGUCAGAAGAAAGAAAUCCGGAAAUUAAAUCUGCACGAGGUGUAUGUGUGUAAGAAAUCACGCACGUUUUAUACUCCGUAUUAUAUUACGCCUCGAAUUGGCUCUAGCUUAAUUCCCGAUAAAUUCAGAACUGACUGUACCUGAUCCUGCGCUGUUCAUGUCGCGUAUCUGCGCUGAUGGGGGGGAAAGGAGUAUCUAGAGUUUAGAUUUAUAGCAAAGCUUUUUUUUAGCUGGUGCACCACAUCUUUCUUUCUACCUGUGAUAUAUAUCCCUCCUGAUCUUGACAACGGUUUCCAUCAUUUGCCUCCAACAAGCAAGUUACCGAUGCACACGUACAUGUUCCUGGAAAAAAGUUAUUGCUAAAUGGAGGAAUAAAAAGAGACCUUUUUAAUCUGGGGAAUCUCGUGUAGUCGUGUAGAGUACGUACAUUCUCAGGAGAAGAAAACAAGAAUUGGAGAAACUUGCAAGG
rnacentral:lncRNA from 1 species